UUCCAUGCUGUUGUAAGGCAGCUGCCCUCAUUCAACCUCCCCAGGGCAAGGAGGGAGCUGAGGGUGGCAGAGCAGAGCCUGUGAAGGGCGAGGGGUGGGGGGUCUCCCUGCUUCCUGCUGAGUGAGGCUCAGGGGCCUAAGUCAGGCUGAGAGACUCUGAGUACCUGGCUCUUUCUGAAAGUGUCAAUGGCCGGUGGAAGGCUCUGUGCUUGGGACUGGGGCUUGCUUUGUAGGGCAGAGCCCCGGGAGGUAGGUAAAGGAGAUGAUGACCCAAAGCCCUUCUGAAGGGACGUUGCUGGGGCCCCCUUCUUCUGCCCCUCCCCAGUUUUCACAUCAGUCUGACCCACAUCUGGGGCCAGGUGUGUGGUUCGUGGGUCAGACUUUCCCAGAGCAGCAAUCCUGCCUGCUGCUCUCCCUUUCUCCAGUCUGGACCUGUGCCCCUCUCAAGCUAGGGCUUGAAUGGAAAGAAUUUGGGGUUUUCAUGUGGGGAGGGAGAGAUGGGGCCACCAUUCAUUUAUUCCUUCAUUUGUACCCUUCCGUGUAGCCCUUCCGUGUAGACUUGUGCAGUCUCUGGGCACACAGAGAUGGGCGUGACAUUUAGGCCUCUUUGCACCUCUGCUGGGUGUGAGGGGAUCCCCGGAACAACCGUCCUGGCUCUUCCAGAAGCCCUCUGUUGUGGUGGUGGGGGAAAGAGGAGGGCGAGACGUGGUGUUUAAAAUUUUCCUCUCUCCUUCUAGGUUCUUUUGGCUGGUCUAAUAACUAAAAUGACACAAGGCAGAUUAACAGGAGAAAAACAUUUAAUUUCACACAGAGAGGAGCCCCAUAAAAUAUGAGAAGCAAAGGCAGCCUGUCCAUGGAGUCUUAUGUGCCAUCCUGAGCUAAGGAAUCGGACAGAGGCCUGGGGCUUCCAACGGGAGGAGGAGGGUAAUUUAUAGGACAAUGAGAAGAGCAGAUGUUUGCCCUGCCGUACAGAUAGGUCUUUCCGAUAAAAGUCACCUGUGAAUGGCUGUCUUUCUGAGCCACGGCCUCUAUCUAGAUUCUUUUAGGCAGUUAAGGGAGAGGUAAAAGUUUUUCUUGAAACUGCUGUGUCUCGAUUGCCUUCAGCUCAAAAUAAUCCACACGCCAAAGUGACCAUUUUGGGGAGGCUUCUUAUGGACCCCUUCAUGUCCAACAGGUGAGGAACAAAAUAUCCAAACGGAAGAACCAGUCCGUUUACACAGACAGGAAAGCAGGCAGGGAGGAGGGGAGCACCCAGUCAGGACUGGGUAAGAGGAAAUCUCUGCCAGAGCCAUUUCCCCUUAGCCGAGAACGCCUGUGGAAAACACUCCCCUUUCUGCAUAAUGAAAGACUGUUGGAAACCGGCUCACUUUAAGGGACCACGAGCUAAUGUAUAUGCAUGUGAACACUGCUGCACAAGCUUGUGUUAUGUCUGCCUUUCCAUUUGUUUUCUCUGGAUGUGUCUGCAUUUAAUAGACAUAGCAAAAUGUCUCCAUUGGGGUGUGUUUCUCAUUUAAAGAAAAAAGAGCUCAAGAUUUAGAAACCUAGUAUAGAUCCAAAAGCUUUGAACUCAGCCAUUUCAUUAAAAAGCAGAAUAGAAUAGAAUAAAAAAUAAAAUAAAAUAAAAAGAGCCCGGUUUCCUAAAGAAGAGGCUGUCACCACUGUCCCGGCAGGCUCUCUGUGCGCAGCUCCGCACCCCACCCCCCACAACCAGGUUGUUAUGACUCGCCCCCACAGAGCUUUGCAGGCUUGAACUCUCAAGUGGAUAUUUGCUGUGUGGACACAGAAGGAGAGUUCUCCCUUUAGAGAGAAUGCAAUUACUUGACCUUUGUAUGGAAGACCCAUCUGGAGGAUUUUCAUCAUUCCAGCAGAAAGAUUCUGGUGACUCUCAGUUGAUCACUACGGCUGCAUUUUAAUCUCCGUAAUUAUGCGUUUUUAUUAUCUCUCCUAGGUAAACUAGAACGCUCUCUCCAGGGUGUUCAUUGCCACUGCCCGUGGGCCAAGCGGCCUACGGUCUUAGGAGAGGAUAUUGUGUCUCCAGCCGAGAUGGGGUCCUGCAUCUCACUUCAAGGGGAUUAGCUGCACGUGUGCUGUGGUUCUGUUCGCCCCGUUAGUGUUGCUUUAUAUUAUAACGACCUUGCUGUACCAGCUCCUGGGCCUGCAGCAUCUCCCACUGGCCGCUGGCACUGUUUUCAUUGACCUGCCCGUAUCACCCCUUGCCAGCCCGGCCCCUCCCAGGGCUGACUAAGCAGGUGUCUUCCUGGCCCUGGGGCCCUACUCCUGGCCUCAGUUUCCCUCUGGCUUCUCUCAGCAUUUCCCUCUUGGCCCUCCUCCUGGCUGAGGUGGAACUAUUGGUGAGUGCUUCUGGCUCCGCCAGGGACAGCCCAAACCUCACCUCUCACCUCCCAAAGCGAUGACAUAGUCACAGUGCAGGCGGGUCUCUGCUUUGAUAGGACAUGAAAGAAAUUAUGGCCACUCUGGUGACCGCCGGAGGGAGGAGCAUAGAGGACCGAAUGAGGGAGACAGACGCAGCCUCCUAGAGGGUGUGAUGCUAAACUGAGCGCGAAGGGCGAAUGGGAAAUUCCUGGGUGAAGAAGGGAGGUGGGAGGAGUUCCAGGCAGGAGGAACAGACUGUGGGAAGACCUGGAGGCACAUGGUCACAUGAUUGGGGAUUUUACAUGGUUAGACAGAAAGGUGCCUGUCAAAGAUGGUGACAGGUGAGGCCGGAGCGAUUGGGGGAUUUAAAUACCUUGAAGAUCUCUCCAUGUUACACGUAGGACCAUGGGGCACAGAGGUGUGUGUUGUGUAGUGUGCCAUUUUAGGAGCACCCCUAAACAGUGCAGUGCACAACCUGAGUAACUGAACAGUGUGACUCUGCUCCGCUCAGGGGAAUGAGCUUCAUCCUGGUGGCCACGGAUUGUAAGGAGAGCAACAUGGUUAUACGUGUGGGUUAAACAGAUCAUGCUGGCGGUGAAGAGGGGGUUGGAGGAGGAAAGAGAGGAGGCAGGAACAGCAGGUAGGCGGAAGCCAUGGUAAUCCAGGGAGGUCUGACAAGGGUUGCUCUAAGGCCACGCUGGGGAGGAAGGAGAGGGAGGCUGCUGUUUGCAGGGGCGGGCUCUGCAGGGUUUGCAGCCUGCCAGCAGCAGCACAACACGUCGAAUAAAGAAAAUGCCCAAACCGUUGUAAACACCUUCUGCGAAUAACAACGGGGUUUAUAAAAUUGUCAUUGCUUAUGCCAUAGAAACUUUCUAGGAUUUUUCUCCUCCAGAGUUCCAAUGGUGCUUGAAAAAUCAUUUGCUCGUUGUAGAUAAUAUGCACAUUGCAAGGCAUUUCUUUGUUUUGGUGUCUCUUCCAUGCUAAUAUUUAAUACCUUUUCCCUUUUAUGAUUCAAAGAAUGUUCUGUGUCCUACUGCCUUCACACCACCCUGGUUCUGGAGAAACGGAAAGACUUGGAUGCUUGAGAUGGAAACAGAAAUGGGGAGGCUGAUUCCUUCCUGGAUGCAGUGAGCUUUCCAGGCCACAGAAUUCCAUCACCUUGAAUAACAGGCCAGCUGCCCACGCCGACCUACAUCUGGCCAGCUGCUCUGGGACAGCUGAGGCCACACACCUGCUCUGGGGAGCCCACGAUCUGGUCUCUGACUCCUGAGACCGGCCAAGCAUCUGAAUGAGGAAAAGAAGGGCUGUGGCUUGUUUCUUUGGAGGCAGUUUGUUGGAAAUGCUGCAGAGAUGCUGGCUGUUUUCCAGAGGACAGUGGGGGCUAUAGAAAAUUCUGCAUGUGACUCUGAGGAGCCAUCCUCAGAUUUGCUCUGCUCCACCCAGAACUUCUUGUCUAGCUGAAAAGCAUCUAUGUGGGGGAAGGUCAAGAGGAAGAGAGAGUAGGAACAGUGUUUUGCUGAAACUUUGCAGCCAUUUCUGAGGAAAGCAACUCCUUUUUCCCAGGUCCUGACAAAUGGUGACGUUGAAUGCAUAGAUCCCUUACCUGGUUCAGGUCCCCUUAUUUUAAAGACCCAGAGAACAGAAAUGAGUAUGUGUCAGAGCCAGAAUUAAAGCAUGGCCAAAUCUUGUCUAGUGUUUUGAGAACUGACAUAAUCCUUGUGUUUCCACUCUACAAGAAGGAGCAGGUGGGGAACCCAUAUUUAGGUAGAGUCUGCUCUGUACCAGGCACUGGUCUCAGCACAUUUCAUAUGUUCCCAGGUAAUCUCCACAACCCACCAGGGCCACACUAUUCUUAUUCUCCUGUUAUGGUCUGAGGAAACUGAACUGAGCACCUCCUUCAAGGAGACACAGCAGGCAGGGAAGGGAGUUGGGAUUCAAACCCAGGUCAGCCUCACGCCCAAGCCUGGGUUCUUUGCACAGUCUUGUGGAGAAGGCCUUCUUGACAUUAACCUUGCAGGGCUGGCACAUCCUGUCCCAAGCUGUGGGGACGACCCCAGGAGGAAAAGGCAACAGAUGACCAAGGCCACGGGCUUCUUCAGUUAGAAUUUUACAGGGGCCUGCUUUAGCCUCAGCUCUGGAGAUCGCAGUUGUACAGAUGCUUCUACUCUUGGGGCAACAGGGGCUCUGCCUCCUCCAUCUGGGAAGAGGAGCAGGAGGGUGGAGUCCCUGCAGCCUGGAGGCGGGCUGUGCUUAUCUAUGGAUGUGGAUGUAUCAUGCUGGACAGCCCCUGCAUGGCCACAGCCCUGGACCUCUACCCACCAGGCUGUCAGCAACGUCUCAGCAACCUGGCUCGAGGAUGUUGGCACGCACGAAGCCGACCAUGCAGCCAGUGGUGAUGCUUUUAUGAUCCUGUUUACUAUUUUUUAGACCUAACCUCAUCGCUCUGCACUUUGUGGAACUGAAAUACAGCUCUCUGGCCUUCCUGCAGCCUGCUGGCCACCCGAGAAUUUGCCCCUUGCUGAUCAAAUCCUGAACAGCUGGCAAAUCCCUUCAGAGAUUAUGUUUGAGUGACCGGAUCCCUGCAUGUGUCACAUCCUGGUAUUAUUAUUAUUAUUAUUAUUAUUAUUGUUGUUA